rnacentral:rRNA from 1 species
GAUGAACGCUGGCGGCGUGCUUAACACAUGCAAGUCGAACGGUAAGGCCCUUCGGGGUACACGAGUGGCGAACGGGUGAGUAACACGUGGGUGAUCUGCCCUGCACUUCGGGAUAAGCCUGGGAAACUGGGUCUAAUACCGGAUAGGACCACUGCCUGCAUGGGUGGUGGUGGAAAGCUUUUGCGGUGUGGGAUGGGCCCGCGGCCUAUCAGCUUGUUGGUGGGGUGAUGGCCUACCAAGGCGACGACGGGUAGCCGGCCUGAGAGGGUGACCGGCCACACUGGGACUGGGAUACGGCCCAGACUCCUACGGGAGGCAGCAGUGGGGAAUAUUGCCCAAUGGGCGCAAGCCUGAUGCAGCGACGCCGCGUGAGGGAUGACGGCCUUCGGGUUGUAAACCUCUUUCAGCACCGACGAAGCGCAAGUGACGGUAGGUGCAGAAGAAGGACCGGCCAACUACGUGCCAGCAGCCGCCGUAAGAC